rnacentral:lncRNA from 12 species
GUGUACAUUAUAAAAUGUUAAUAUUGGCAGAUAUUCACAUUCCUUUCCAGAGUUUCACAAAACUCUUAAAUCCCUGGUGACAGGACCUAAAUGGAACACGAACUUUUUGCUAUCUUUGCAGCCAUACAAGAAACAAAGCAGAAGUUGAUGUGCUAUUAUUUAUGUCCUUGAAAUACUUGCUUGGAAGUAUCUUUGAUUCAAGAACAGCCCAUCAGAUAGUUAUUCUGGGUGCGAAUGCGAAUUCUACAGAGGAGCCAAGAUUUCAGAACCUGGAGAGAAUGACUGCAACUGAUGAGCUGGGAAUCAAAAUACUCCUUGGUGUAAGACUUAAAAAUCACCUCUCCACCCCAUAUGAAGUUAUCAGGAAUUGCUCUAUUAUUUCUGUCAUUAACCAACCAUUCCUCCCCCCACCUUUGCACCAAAUCCUCUCAAGUGCAGCCAGAGAUUAUCAAACCCAGCGAUAGCCUUUCAACAGCUCGG